rnacentral:rRNA from 1 species
GACGAACGCUGGCGGCGUGCCUAAUACAUGCAAGUCGAGCGGAAGUUGGAGAGCUUGCUCUUCAACUUUAGCGGCGGACGGGUGAGUAACACGUGGGCAACCUGCACUGCAGAUCGGGAUAACUCCGGGAAACCGGUGCUAAUACCGAAUAGUUUUCGCCACCUCCUGGUGGCGUACGGAAAGACGGUUUCGGCUGUCACUGCAGGAUGGGCCCGCGGCGCAUUAGCUAGUUGGUGGGGUAACGGCCCACCAAGGCGACGAUGCGUAGCCGACGUGAGAGGGUGAUCGGCCACACUGGGACUGAGACACGGCCCAAACUCCUACGGGAGGCAGCAGUAGGGAAUCUUCCGCAAUGGACGAAAGUCUGACGGAGCAACGCCGCGUGAGUGACGAAGGUUUUCGGAUCGUAAACCUCUGUUGUGAGGGAAGAACAAGUACCAACUAACUACUGGUACCUUGACGGUACCUCACCAGAAAGCCACGGCUAACUACGUGCCAGCAGCCGCCGUAA